ACGAACUCUUUUCAUUUGUACUCGUACUCGUACUCGGGUAUGAUGACAAGGUUGCUUUUUAUUUUUCCCAUUUUUUGUUUGUUUUUUCAUUUUUCCAGCUCUGUUGUUUCUGCUUUAUGCAUAUGUAUCGUCUGGGAUCGCUUCAAGCAGCGGCUUCGAUUUGGUUUUUGUAUUAAAAUUUUGCUAAACUAAAAAAAUGUGUGUGCAGUUUGCCUGAGCUGGACGAGAGGAGGCAGCAAAAGAACCUGGCAUUGGCCCCAGCUUCGGUGGCGGGUUUUUCAGGCUGUCGCACACACAGGCGCACACACACACACACACACACUGAGAGAGAGAGACACAUUGAAAGGAAGGCCCCCGGUUGAAGAAGUGAUGACAACAACGACGUAUGAGCACCCGAGUUUGUGCCGCAUUUAAAUUUCAAAUUGUACAGAACAGAGACCGAACCCGAACCCGAGACCAAGACCGAGAUCGAGCCCGAGCCCGAACCCGAUGCCGCAGCCGUAGCCUUAGACUCAAAAACCCGGCAGCUACUUGCUACCAAUGUUGUUGGGCCUGUAUCUUGAUGCCUCUGUGCAGGCAGCAUCCACAAGCAGAACACAGGCAAGAACAACUGCAACAACAAGUGUGUGGGGCAGGUAGACACUAAAUCGUACGAGCCUUGCAUAUUGCAGUUUGUUGCAACGCAGCGUAUCUAAUAGAUACUCGUACUUACAACACGCAGCGGCAGCAACAACUACAGCUAGCUGGCUUUUCCUUUUGCCUUUCUUAUGGAAAUUUGAUGUUGUUGCCAAGUUAAGUUCAUUAAGUGUUAGUAUUUGAACCUCUGGCUGACAGUCGUUUGCCUUGCCAUCGAUACAAUCUCUGCUACUCUUGCCGAUGACUUCGCAACGCCAAACAAAUUCCAAGUGGUUUUGGCAAAUGGCUGUGUCUGAGGUGGGUCCCGGCCCAGACGAGCACACAAUGCACACACACGUGUACACAACACCUUCGAUAAGCUGGCAGCGCCUCACAUUUAACCAAUUUGGAGCAUACGCCUCUUGCGUUAGGCACAGCAACAAAAAUGAAA